rnacentral:rRNA from 1 species
AACCUCCGCAAUGUGAGAAAUCGCGACGGGGGGAUCCCAAGUGCCAUUCUUAACGGGAUGGCUUUUCUUAAGUGUAAAAAGCUUUUGGAAUAAGAGCUGGGCAAGACCGGUGCCAGCCGCCGCGGUAACACCGGCAGCUCUAGUGGUAGCUGUUUUUAUUGGGCCUAAAGCGUUCGUAGCCGGUUUGAUAAGUCACUGGUGAAAUCCUGUAGCUUAACUGUGGGAAUUGCUGGUGAUACUGUUGAACUUGAGGUCGGGAGAGGUUAGCGGUACUCCCAGGGUAGAGGUGAAAUUCUGUAAUCCUGGGAGGACCACCUGUGGCGAAGGCGGCUAACUGGAACGAACCUGACGGUGAGGGACGAAAGCUAGGGGCGCGAACCGGAUUAGAUACCCGGGUAGUCCUAGCCGUAAACGAUGCGGACUUGGUGUUGGGAUGGCUUUGAGCCGCUCCGGUGCCGAAGGGAAGCUGUUAUCCGCCGCCUGGGAAGUACGGUCGCAAGACUGAAACUUAAAGGAAUU